rnacentral:rRNA from 1 species
UACGUAGGGUGCGAGCGUUAAUCGGAGUUACUGGGCGUAAAGCGUGCGCAGGCGGUUUUGUAAGCCAGAUGUGAAAGCCCCGGGCUCAACCUGGGAAUGGCAUUUGGGACUGCAAGGCUUGAGUGCGGCAGAGGAGACUGGAAUUCCUGGUGUAGCAGUGAAAUGCGUAGAUAUCAGGAGGAAUACCGAUGGCGAAGGCAGGUCUCUGGGCUGACACUGACGCUCAUGCACGAAAGCGUGGGGAGCAAACAGG